UACGUAGGCAGCGAGCGUUGUUCGGAAUUACUGGGCGUAAAGCGUGCGCAGGCGGUUAUGCAAGACAGAUGUGAAAUCCCCGGGCUCAACCUGGGAACUGCAUUUGUGACUGCAUAGCUAGAGUACGGUAGAGGGGGAUGGAAUUCCGCGUGUAGCAGUGAAAUGCGUAGAUAUGCGGAGGAACACCGAUGGCGAAGGCAAUCCCCUGGACCUGUACUGACGCUCAUGCCCGAAAGCGUGGGGAGCAAACAGG
rnacentral:rRNA from 1 species